AGAUGAAAAACUGACUUUUGAGGGAGAGGUUUGCAUCUGUGGAGGAAAUGAAGUGAAGUAAACAACAGAUAGAAACAGGCUUUCUUUGAAGCCCCCCUUGUUGGGACCUGGGAAAGAUGAAUUGAGAGUCUGACAAUUUAAAGCUCUGACAGAAAUAUUUACUGCUGGCUACGAUUUAUUUUUUUCUGAAGGCUGCUACCUGUGAGGUUUCAUCUGCAUAGUAAGACCCCUUUGCUAGUAAGGUGUUUCCUCUUCUCUUCCUUCCAUAACCUGUUUUGCUACCAUAACCUAUUUUGCCAUGCUCUAGAGCCCUCAUUUCUUCUGUAACCUCAAGAUGGUAUAAAAGUGUCAACCCUCUUACAUUUCUUUGAGUUUUAAUAUUUUAUAUGACUCUUGUGCACAUAUAUGUAUGUCAUAAAAUUUGAAUGCCUUUUUCCUACUAAUCUGUCUAGUAUCAGAUUGUUUUAUAGACUCAAAUUAUUGAAUCUUAAGGGGAAAAAUGUAAAUUUCCCUAUAGGUUUAUAGCUAGAAGGAACUUGCCUUGAGUCUCAAAUGAGAUGUUGGACUUUGGACUUUUGACUUGAUACUGGGACUAGUGAACACUUUUGGAACUAUUAGAAGAGAAAAUUGUCUAAUUGUGUUUUGAAUGUGAGAAGGACAUGAAUUUUGGGGGGCCAGGGGCAGAAUGCUAUGGCUUGGUUAUGGCUUGUUUGUUCCCACCAAAUCUCAUGUUGAAAUUUGAUCCUCAAUGUGGCAGUGUGGGGAGGUGGGGCCUGUUGGGAAGUGUUUGGGCCAUGGGGGAGGAUCUGUCAUGAAUGGCUUAUUGUUGUUCUCCUGGUAGUGAGUUCUCGCUCUAGUAAGAUGGAAUUAGUUCUUGCAGAAACAGAUUAGUUCCUGAGAGAGUGAGUUGUUGUAAGGCCAGAAUACUUCUUGAUUUUAGUUCUGCUUUGCAUGUGUCUACUUUUCCUUUGACUUUCUCUGCCAUUUUUUGACGUAAUAUGUGGCCCUCACCAGAAGCUGAGCAGGUGCCUAUGCCAUGUUUCUUGUACAGCCUGCAGGAUUAUGAGAUAAAUAAACCUCUUUUCCCUGCAAACUACCCAGUCUCAAGUAUUCUCUUAUAUCAACACUAAAUGGACUAAGACAGGGCUCUUUUCCUGGUUUGAAGAUAGUCAUCUUCUUGCUUAUCCUCACAUGAGAAAAGGAGGGAGAGUUCAUCUCUUUUGUCUCUUUUUAUAAGAGGACUAAUCCCAUUCAUGAGGGCUCUACUUUUAUGACCUGAUUACCUUUCAAAGGCCCCACCUCCAAAUACCAUCACAUUGGGAAUUAGGGUUUCAACAUGUGAAUUUGAGAGGACACACAGACAUUCAAUCCAUAGCACUUUUUCAGCCUCAGUAUUCUGUGUUUUCCAGUCUCUGUGACAGAGGCCUGUAUGGUCUAGGCAGGCAACUUAAUGGAAGAAAAUGGGCAGGUUCAACUUAAGGCAAACUGAGGAGAGUGUGCCCAGGCUAAGGGACACAGCUACUACUCAGCUCAAGCCCACAGGUGUGAGCAAGAUUGCAAGGCUCAUGUUGUAAUAUCUUAUUUUUCAGGGGAGACUGCUCAGAAGUCAAUCUUUUUGCCCUUAAGUCUAUUCUUCCACUCCCACCGCUUAGCUUUAAAUUGUGCAGACUGACUCCUAUAGGCUGCGGUUUCCAGAUUCCAUUUCAGCUGGCUUCUGUCUGGGUCCUACCAAUGGGAGGCACUGGUGGGAGAUGGGGGUGAGGAAAAAGGGAGAAACUUGGUUGUUUCUAACCCUGCCUCUCAGCCUUGAACAAUGCCUCCAGCAACAGAAAUAUCUCCAAAAUGACGCUAGCUUUUGAGAGACAGGCCUAUUACAACUCCGGCUUCCACUGAGUGACCUUAGUUCUCUCCUCAUCCCUUCCUUCACACCCUAUAUCUGCCUCCUCCUCUCUCUCCCGUUUCGAUGUGACAGUGGCUUCCUUUUGUUGCUAAUCUCUAUGCUCCCUCACAAUUCCCUGUUUAUCAGUUCUCGCUUCACCUAUAUGACCAAUUUUCUCCAUUAUGUACUUCGUGUGUCAAAGAUUCAGAGUUAU
rnacentral:lncRNA from 10 species